CUUGUGGAGGACGAUCAUGUCCUCUUUUUAAGUUGUUAACUUUAGCCAGCCCUUUUUCGAUUAAUUUGUGUUUUUUCUGUUUUGUUUCUAGUCUAGAUUUUGCAAGGGCCCUGGAUUGUAUUGGAUAGUUAUUUAAAUUAUUUGUUAUUAUCAGUGUCUUUAACUUGUUUGCUCGCAAUUCAGUUCUAUUUUUGUUUGAAUACCGUGAAUCAGAGACUUGAUAGGUAGGAUUGUUCUGUUCAGUUCUAUUUCUAGAUUUUUAUUUUUAUGAUGAUUGUUUUAGCUGGUCUUGCAUGGAAGGAUUGAUUGGUAGGCAGUGGCUUUUAUAGUUCCAACUUCAGGAUCUAACAGCAAAUUUGAAGCAAGAUUGUAUAGGAGCAAUUCAGUUCUCUGGAGGGCUUUCCUAGCAGUCUCCCUAAGAUCACUUCGACCACUGAGAACCGAGGGUUAGAUUCUGCAAAAUAGUGUGAUUUGAUAUUUGAAUAAUGG